AGUAAGAUGCCUGAUAAAAGGGCUAUCUUGAUAGGAUAGAUCAUGUAAGAAAAAUCUUACUCUUGCUA
rnacentral:tRNA from 1 species